CCAGAUUGGGAGGUUUUCUUCAGCUCGACGGUCAGUCAGUCACAGUCAGUAUCAGGUCCGGUGGAGGGUACGAUAACCGCUGUCUUGUUUAGGCCAAUCCGCAAAAAAGCACCGGAAAUGGUCCCAAUAGACACCGGAAGCAGUUGAAAGGAAAAAUUCGCCAAAAGCAAGAGGAUACCCGAGGUGUUUAUAGCAACGAUCUUCACCUGAUUGUCCUACGAGAUAUUGCGCCACACACACACGAUGGGCUGUUGCUGCAGUAGCUCGGACUCACAGGAUAUUACGCCGGUACCGGAUCGACCCACGGCCGAAGAUUUCCCACCAGCGACGGCCUUCGGUGGUGAUGAUGCCGGCACCAAUCCGGCCUUUACCAAUGAGAAUGGAUGAAUCCCGGCGUAAGCAAUGAGGCGCCUUCCGGGAGCCGAUCGCCCGGUCAAACCCGAACCCGGAAGCGUAUAAUGUAGGUGACGUGCGUGUGUCCGUGCGUUACGAUAAAUCAUGCCAAUAAAAGAACAAUUUAAGUGACCGAACCAGAAAUGAAAUGAGAUGAAAACA